AACGAACGCUGGCGGCAGGCUUAACACAUGCAAGUCGAGCGCCCCGCAAGGGGAGCGGCAGACGGGUGAGUAACGCGUGGGAAUCUACCCAUCUCUACGGAAUAACGCAUGGAAACGUGUGCUAAUACCGGAUACGUCCUUCGGGAGCAAGAUUUAUCGGAGAUGGAUGAGCCCGCGUUGGAUUAGCUAGUUGGUGGGGUAAAGGCCUACCAAGGCGACGAUCCAUAGCUGGUCUGAGAGGAUGAUCAGCCACACUGGGACUGAGACACGGCCCAGACUCCUACGGGAGGCAGCAGUGGGGAAUAUUGGACAAUGGGCGCAAGCCUGAUCCAGCCAUGCCGCGUGAGUGAUGAAGGCCCUAGGGUUGUAAAGCUCUUUCGCCGGUGAAGAUAAUGACGGUAACCGGAGAAGAAGCCCCGGCUAACUUCGUGCCAGCCGCCGCGGUAACAC
rnacentral:rRNA from 1 species